GAACAUACCAAUUGUUGCCUCGGCGGAUCAGCCCGCUCCCGGUAAAACGGGACGGCCCGCCAGAGGACCCCUAAACUCUGUUUCUAUAUGUAACUUCUGAGUAAAACCAUAAAUAAAUCAAAACUUUCAACAACGGAUCUCUUGGUUCUGGCAUCGAUGAAGAACGCAGCAAAAUGCGAUAAGUAAUGUGAAUUGCAGAAUUCAGUGAAUCAUCGAAUCUUUGAACGCACAUUGCGCCCGCCAGUAUUCUGGCGGGCAUGCCUGUUCGAGCGUCAUUUCAACCCUCAAGCCCCCGGGUUUGGUGUUGGGGAUCGGCGAGCCCUUGCGGCAAGCCGGCCCCGAAAUCUAGUGGCGGUCUCGCUGCAGCUUCCAUUGCGUAGUAGUAAAACCCUCGCAACUGGUACGCGGCGCGGCCAAGCCGUUAAACCCCCAACUUCUGAAUGUUGACCUCGGAUCAGGUAGGAAUACCCGCUGAACUUAAGCAUAUCAAAAAGCGGGAGGAAACAACUCCCAAACCCCUGUGAAAAUACCAAUUUGUUGCCUCCGCGGGAUCAGCCCCGCUCCCGGUAAAACGGGACGGCCCGCCAGAAGGACCCCCAA
rnacentral:rRNA from 1 species